UUUGUACACCAACAUUUGUGCGUCUAAGAUCUGUGCAGUAUAUACAUACAUAGAAUACAAAAUAUUGCAGACUUCUCAGACUACAAAUGUGAACUGUCUGGUCUUCAAA
rnacentral:pre_miRNA from 2 species